rnacentral:rRNA from 1 species
GCCAGAUGUGAAAUCCCCGAGCUUAACUUGGUGACGUGCAUUUGGAACUGGAUAACUAGAGUGUGUCAGAGGGAUGGUAGAAUUCCACAUGUAGCGGUGGAAUGCGUAGAGAUGUGGAGGAAUACCGAUGGCGAAGGCAGCCUCCUGGGAUAACAUCUGACGUUGAGGCUCCGAAAGCGUGGGGAGCAAACAGGAUUAGAUACUCUGGUAGUCAAGGGCCGAA